CCCACACAGUCCUCUCUCCUCACACAGCAGGUAUCUCAGCCCUUCCAAAGCACUCGGCAACAAUGCCCUCUCCUGCACAAACCGAUCUGCUCAGCUUCACACCUUCUGUCCUAGGUCCUGGUCAUCCAAGGCUGAUUCUCAUUGUCUCUUUCUUGCAGAGUGUGACUAGAGCAUCCAACCACACUGGCAGUCACUGCCCACCCCACCUACACUGAGUAGUGAUACUCCCAAGGGUGGGAGCAAUCUCAUUCCUCUCUACCUCCAGCCUGGGGCAAGGUGCCGCCUGUUUAAUUGCAGGGAUAAGCAAACAACAUACCUGUGUACAAUGUUUAUACUAAAUACGGGACCUGUGAUUUCAUUCACAGUGUAAGUGUGCUUUAAUUCAUCGUAACUGUUUUAGAAAAGUAUUGCAUACAAAUUAAGCACUCAGUCACCAUUGGAAUUUGAAAAUCUUAAAAUAGGUGAACAACAGUAGACUUAGAUCCAAGGAUACCUCCUCAGAAUUCCUUCAUACUGGCUACUCUAGCCUGGGCUUGACUCUUCUCAGUUCAGGCUCUCUAGCUCGAAACCAGAGUCACACUUCCAACCUGACCCCAAGCACAGAGGUUGGGCCAGCAUAAGGGCAUCCACACCCUGGUGCUGAGGGAUUCCUGCCACAAGAGCCAUGGCACUCAAAUCCACAGCCGUAGCCACACAGCCAAAGUGAGUUAUUUUGAGGAAAGCAUUUGUGUGGCUUCAGUUUUUGGUCGAAACAAUGGAUAGUUUAAAUGACAGCCAUCUCUCUCGGUUGCUGAAAUAUUUGGAUGUCAAUCAUGAGAACUUGGGCAAGUCCUGGGGCCAGUCUGAACUAAGGAGAGACACCAAACUGGGGCAAGCAAAUUCAAGAGAAGUGACUGGGAAGUCAAGAGGAGAACAAUAUGAAGAGUGUGUGGGACCCAGCUUGCAGUGUGUGCAGAAUGUGAACGGCUGCUGGUCGUGUGCAGUCAAAUAUGAUCCCAGCUGCAUUUUACCAUUUCUGUACUUCUCUGGCUACCCCGGACCAGUAGCAAAUCAUCUGAGGCCAGCCCCAGUAGCUCUCACUGGGGCCACAGAAUAGUGUUGGCGUGUGGGAGGCAAGCGCAGGAAGCUGUAAAUCCUCAGGUGGCCUCCAUGCUUGUUGAGGUGGCUUCACUGUAGCCUUCCUUGGCUACUGGGCUCAUUGAGCAGUGUUCAAGAACUGCUCACUAGCAACUACAUCAUUACUAGUGCGCAGCGGAGCGGAGCGGCUCUACCCAACCAGCAGUUCCUCAGCCCCUCGCAGAAGAGAUCCUUUGCACUUAACUGAAAGGUCGCCUUUCUGAUUUGGAUCACUUAACGUCCAGUUCCACUUUGCCUCCCUGCUGACCCUUGUCGAAGACCCCCAUCUGCUGGUUGCCACGGUAACUGAAGGAGACCAAUUGAGCUGAACACAGCGACUCAGAAAUAAAAUCUGCAGCCAGAGGAA